GCCCGGCCACAAGCCAUUCCCCUGCGCCUGGCCUCACAUUACUUGGAAGCACAAAUGAGUAAGAUAGAAGGGGAGCCCAGUGGACAUGUGCCUUUCCAGAACCUUCCUAGGCACCCCUCAACCUGCAGGGUCUCUUUGUAGCUGGAAUCCAGGAUACAUGACAAGUUCUACCAACCAGAUGCAGGGCAACCUGAAAAGCGGAAAUGACGUAACACAACUUCCUUGUGCCUUGGCUGUGUUUCUCAAAAAGUGAGAAAUCUAUCAGCUUCUCAAAAACCUUCUUCAGGUCCCACUGCUGACCGCCAGACCAAACUCCUACAGUUGCCGCUUGCAUCUCAGAGCGCCUGCAUCCCGCUCGGAGUGGGUUCGAGCCCUGCUCCCUCCCAACGCACCUUUUC